rnacentral:lncRNA from 1 species
AACAGACCACGAGAGAAAACCUACUUAUUAAUCUAAACUAGAGGCGGUGGAAGGAGACACACUUAGAAGAUUCAACGAACAAAGAACAAAGAAGAGAUAAUGCGAAAGCUAUCCACAACUAGCCAACACGACCAAUCCCCGGAGCUUUCUAGAUAUAACAAAGAGCAAAACCAUGACCCAGCAAUUCCAAAGACUAAACCAACAACUACCAGAAGCUAACACAAACAAACAGCUAAAACCAUCCGAUAAGAGAAAGGCAAUAUGAGUUUCAACCCGACAAGGAACAGAAACGAAAAGUCUCUGUCACCUCGCAACCACCGGCGGCGGCCAACAACAGACAAAGCCACAACCUAACAUCCGCAAGAGACCACCACACCAACUCUUAAAGCAGAUCCAUCCGCCACCACUUCCAGAAACGAGAAACAUGCCUCUCCAAAAACACCACCUCGAUAAGCACCGGUAGCUCCUCCACAAAACAGAUUUUGUUCUCGAGAAAAUCAGAUAUGAGAAGAGACUAAAAUCGAAGGCCAUGUCGUGACGAGGAGAGGAACCGCCAAUUCAUAGCACCACUCAACCCAACCUUAAGCCAGAAGCUUCAUCAAAAAUGAACCACCGCAACCUAGAAACCCAUCUCGCCUUCUCGGAUCUUCAAUCACAGCCUCACCAAACAUAAAACGAGAAACAAAAGCAAAACUAUAACAGGGGCGAGGAGGCCGGAUCCGGUGCUAGGAGAGCCACCGCAAUCCAGCCUCAGAUUCUAGAACUUUUUUUUUUUUUCCACUGGCGGCUGUCUCGAGAGAGAAACGAAGACUAGGGUUUUUUGAGAUUGUUUCAACGUCCAUAUAGGUUUUUUUUUU